rnacentral:misc_RNA from 1 species
UGUGGAUUAUGCCUUCAUAGUGGCUCUUGUGGUGGUUCUUGAUGAGAUCAACAAUGAUCGGAGCGGGGAGGAUUAAAUAUUAUUUGUGUGUUAUUAUGGAACUGUCCAACUAGCAUCUGUGUGUGUGGAAAUAAAUUUGAUAAACUUGUGAACGCCAGUGAUCGUUAGCUGCAUUUCUGAUCUGCCUUGAGUUGUAAAAGCUUCCAUGAUUUCCUGAUAAUCUAUCAAGUGCUUGCUUGGUUCUGUGGAUAUUUCAAAUCUAUGUGUAAUCUGGAUAGCAGAAAAGUUCCAAUAAGAAAGUUAACUUGAAUUGAAUAGCUUUCAAGCAAUGAGAGCAACCUUGGGUGUCUGAGCCCGAACAACAAAUUUGCAAAUAAUAAUGUAUUUUACUGACGAAAGAGAAAUUGUAAUCAUUGUUUCAAAGAUGAUGGACUCGUUCAUCUUCGACCUCUAUAAAAGCAAUUUAAAAAAACAAAUUGUUAAUCUUAUCAAAUAAAUAAAAUUUUAAAUUAUGUAUGUACA